rnacentral:lncRNA from 1 species
AGGCAAUCUAAUCUUUCAUGGAAUCAUACAUGGGCUGAAUUGAAUUUAAGUUACCAAGCAAAAACAUGAAUUAAACCCAUCUUGACAUAUAAAAUACCAUUGUAAAGGAAAAUUCCAUAAUUUAAUUAAUAGAGAAGGUUUUUGGGAUCAAUGGGUAAAAGGGACCCAUUGAUGAAUACCCCACAUACUUUAAGCUUCUUAACUUGGGAAAGAAACCCUAUUCUUGAUGCUUUCUUGAUGUUAUUGAACUUGGGAAGCUUGAAUUCUUGAUUACUUAGGGAAAAAAGAAUUAAAGGGGGUGGGGGUUGGGGUGGUUGUUCUUGAGAGUGCUUUUGAGAAAAAGGGCAAAUAAUGCCCUAAAAGAUUCCCCAAGUCGUGUUAUGGAUGAUUUUGGUUGAGGGGAAAAAAUACUUAAUUUCCCCUUAGUAAUUUAAAUCAAGAACUGGAUGCAAUAUCCUCAUAGUGAUGCGGUCUUAUCACAGUCGAAGGAUUCUCUCACCGUGAUACGGUCUGCAUGAGGUCAGGAAUAAUGCUGCGAGGCGGGCUUAUCACGAUGACCCACUAGUUUCGUGAUCUAAACAUACCCUAAACCUUGUCCAAAAAAUCUUAAACUCCUCCAAGACAUACUUCAUACAUUCCUAAAUAGGAAUUAACUCAGAAACCAACUUCUCGAGGUCGUAAAGUCCAAAAUAAAAAUCCUCAAAGUUUAGGGGUCUUGAAAAUAACUAAGUCACCAACACUUAGUGAAAAUUUCAAGCCUUAAGCCCCUUAUGCAUGCAACUAGGAACUGAAUCGAGCCAAGAAUAUUGUGGGGUAUUAUGUGGAGUCUCUAUGCUAUAUCCCACAAAAAAUAGGUCAUGCGCCAGAUCUUCCCUCAGAGCUAGCGUUUAUCAGCUUCAAGGCCUUAGAAGAGAAAGUUGAAGUCAUUCCUCGAUUGGAGAACACUGUUGUUCCUAAUGGCCUACACCCUCCUUAUAUUUCUCAAGUUGCACAGCUUUCUUGCCAAUUUUUAUUUGGUAUUAUUGAAGAAAAUGGAGUGUUAAAUAGACCACUCUGUCGCAUAAAGAGACCAGUGGAGUGUUCUA